UCGUGUUACAAUUGACAAACA
rnacentral:piRNA from 1 species